UACGGAGGGUGCGAGCGUUGUCCGGAAUCAUUGGGCGUAAAGGGCGCGUAGGUGGCCUGCUAAGCGUGCGGUGAAAGCUCGGGGCUCAACCCCGAGUCGGCCGUGCGAACUGGUGGGCUUGAGCACUGUAGAGGCAGGCGGAAUUCCGGGUGUAGCGGUGGAAUGCGUAGAUAUCGGGAAGAACACCAGUGGCGAAAGCGCUCUACUGGGCCAUAACUGACACUGAGGGACGAAAGCUAGGGGAGCGAACAGG
rnacentral:rRNA from 1 species